AGUGAACGCUGGCGGCAUGCUUUACACAUGCAAGUCGAACGGUAACAGGCCGCAAGGUGCUGACGGGUGGCGAACGGGUGAGUAAUGCAUCGGAACGUGCCCAGUCGUGGGGGAUAACGCAGCGAAAGCUGUGCUAAUACCGCAUACGAUCUAUGGAUGAAAGCGGGGGACCGUAAGGCCUCGCGCGAUUGGAGCGGCCGAUGUCAGAUUAGGUAGUUGGUGGGGUAAAGGCCUACCAAGCCGACGAUCUGUAGCUGGUCUGAGAGGACGACCAGCCACACUGGGACUGAGACACGGCCCAGACUCCUACGGGAGGCAGCAGUGGGGAAUUUUGGACAAUGGGCGCAAGCCUGAUCCGGCAAUGCCGCGUGCAGGAAGAAGGCCUUCGGGUUGUAAACUGCUUUUGUACGGAACGAAACGGUCUGGGUUAAUACCCUGGGCUAAUGACGGUACCGUAAGAAUAAGCACCGGCUAACUACGUGCCAGCCGCCGCCGUAA
rnacentral:rRNA from 1 species